CAUGUUGAAACACCGGUUCCCAUAAAAUCACCAAAUUUAAGCAACAUAGAGCCUGGUCAGUACCUAGAUGGGUGACUGGUUGAGAAUACCAGGUGUUGUAAG